rfam:Catenovulum agarivorans DS-2 contig126, whole genome shotgun sequence.
GUGGCUGUAGCUCAGUUGGUAGAGCCCCGGAUUGUGAUUCCGGUUGUCGUGGGUUCAAGUCCCAUCAGCCACC